rnacentral:rRNA from 5 species
GGCGAACGGGUGAGUAACACGUGGGCAAUCUGCCCUUCACUCUGGGACAAGCCCUGGAAACGGGGUCUAAUACCGGAUAACACUCCUGCCUGCAUGGGCGGGGGUUAAAAGCUCCGGCGGUGAAGGAUGAGCCCGCGGCCUAUCAGCUUGUUGGUGGGGUAAUGGCCUACCAAGGCGACGACGGGUAGCCGGCCUGAGAGGGCGACCGGCCACACUGGGACUGAGACACGGCCCAGACUCCUACGGGAGGCAGCAGUGGGGAAUAUUGCACAAUGGGCGAAAGCCUGAUGCAGCGACGCCGCGUGAGGGAUGACGGCCUUCGGGUUGUAAACCUCUUUCAGCAGGGAAGAAGCGAAAGUGACGGUACCUGCAGAAGAAGCGCCGGCUAACUACGUGCCAGCAGCCGCGGUAAUACGUAGGGCGCAAGCGUUGUCCGGAAUUAUUGGGCGUAAAGAGCUCGUAGGCGGCUUGUCACGUCGGAUGUGAAAGCCCGGGGCUUAACCCCGGGUCUGCAUUCGAUACGGGCAGGCUAGAGUGUGGUA